rnacentral:lncRNA from 1 species
GGAGUCCUGUGGAGCUCUAAUUGCCCGAGCCCCUGUCUGAGUGAAGAAAGCCAAGGUCCACCAAUCACUCGGGGCUCGAUGUCGAAGGGAGACGUGAGCCCCUGGCCACCCAGAUUUUACCUUGUUUCUGUGUCUAUUUUUCAUCUUUGUCACACCUCGGUCAGGUUCAAGCUCAACACCUAGGCUGGUUCCUACAGGGGCGUCCGAACAGGGCCCUGGUCAAGGAAGUCCCCCCCGAGGAGGGAAGCCUGGAGAAUCAGUGCCGGGGACUGCCGCAGCCGACAAACGGCACAAAGAGAGUGAAAGUUCUCACCUCCAAAGCCCCUGGAGCUGCAGAGCCUCAGUGUGGGACUCCAGGGUCCUCAUUUGGCGUGGGGAACUGCUUGUGCUGCUCUAUGGAGGAGACUUCUGCAGUGAUUCAUGUGCUGGGCUCUUGACCUCUCCACCACAGGCUGUUCUGUCCUGAGCAGCUCAUGCUUGUCUCUGGCCUCAGGCCUGAGAACCAGAGGGUUUGCAUCUGUCCCACUUCCCCUGGCACCGGGGACCCCAGCUGUCACCAUGGAGCAGACCUCCAGAGCCAGCCUUGUUUGUGGGACCUGGCCAAGGAAGGAGCUACAGUGCCCAUGACAGAUGGCUUCUGAUGGUGAGGAGCAGCUGUGACAGCCACCAACAUUCUGGGAGCCAGUGUUGUCCUUGCUGAAGUGGCAUUUGGAGAGAGGCCUGGGCCCUUGGAGCCUGCCACCCAUUGUGUGAUCCCAGUCACCCCACUGCUCUGAGCAUCAGGUGUUUUAUUGGCAAAAUAGGCAACAGGCCUGGAUUAGUGCUGCUGUUUGGUCCGAUGUGACAAUGAACUGAACUUGUGUGGCAACGUGAAAUAAUGACAAAUAACCUCCUUCGUGUUAAAUUUCCUACCUUCUCUCAGAAGAGAAAUAUGGCCCCUGCACCAGAUCUCGGGCAAAAUCUGUGGUCUUCUGACUUCAUUCCUACAUGAAAGCUUCCACUGGAACAAGAUGGGCACAUGCAAGGCUGGCCCUGUGGUCUCAGGCACACACAGGACAAAGUGCGUGUCGGGAGGCAGGAGCAGUGCACAGCUAUUUUGAAAUCUGUGAGCAUUUCUCUUUGAAUGCUGUCCACUGCACUCUCCCAAGAUCUCUCCCUUCAGGCCAUCUGCGAAAGGCACAGUGCCCUGGAGCAGCAUUUUAAAAAGCUGAUUUGGUCUAGGCUUUAAAAAAGAAAAUCAAAAGAAAACAAACACCCACCCCCCACAGUGAACAACAACUUUUUCCCAGGCUGGUCAGCACUGUGGCCAGGUUGCUCCGGCAACAACACAUUUUGGGGGGGCAGCUUCGCUGGGCCUUUGUUUCCCAGGUGCAUUGCGGGGAUGGGAGAAGGUCAAGGGUGUUUCCGGCUCCACAUCCUGUGAGGCCAAACCCGCACCUCGGAGCUCUCUCCCGCUCGAGUCCCGGCUGGCCUCUCAGCAGGGAGAAUAACAGCAUCUGUGUGGCAGCUUCUCGGGGCUCCUGCCUGCAGACAGUCUGGUGGCCAGCAAAGGCAGCUGCUGACUUCCUGUGGCCCCGGCUGCUGUUGGUCAGUUGGGCCCUGGAGCUGGGAGCUUUGGUCAGGCUCCCAGCCCCCUGGCAAACCCACCUAAUAGCCACAGCCACCUGCUUGCCGUCCUUUCUCCUUUCCUACAAACUUCUGUCCUUUCUGCUCCUGAGGGUUCACAGUGGCCAAUGACAGAAGGAUCCCAGCAGCAGUCUGGGCCAGAAACAAAUGGCAAAUACAAGGUGUGUUUCCUGUCCAAGUUUGCCACCCCACAGCCGCAGUAGUUUGCUUUUGGCACUCUGGAGGCAUUGGUUGCUAUCGUAGCCCAUGACUCUUGAGCCCUCAUUCAACCAUCUGGCCCAGAAACAUUGAGCCAGCGUGAGCGGCCAGUCCUUGGUCACCAGCCUCUUUCUCAGGCCUGAAGGGCUGCUGACUGGUUCCCUGGGCCUGGAGCCAUGGCAGCUCAUGGUGAAGCUGUGCCCUGAGAGACAGCACUCAGGUCCCUGAGGAAGGGUCAUUAAUCUGCCGAGGAAGGGUCGGCUCUCCAAUCACCCUUGGCCUCUUGGGUCCCAACAGCAUUUGGAGUAAGAAGGUUGAUUGCUGCAGCUUUCUGACCCUCUUUCUUGGCCACUUGUUCCAGUCACUGCUGUGUGGUAAUAAACCAUCCCAAAACUUAGUAGUAUAUGACAGUGUCUUCCCACAAUAUGGUCCUGUGGGUCUGGAAUUUGGAGAGAGCACAGCAGGGACAUUUGUCUUUACCCUGUAAUGUCUGAGGCCUCAACUUCAAAGAUUCCAUGGUUGAGGAGGAUGAAACGUCUAGAACCAUCUGAA